rnacentral:rRNA from 1 species
CCCAAUGAAUUUAUAUUUAAUGGCCGCAGUAUUUUGACUGUGCAAAGGUAGCAUAAUCAUUAGUUUCUUAAUUAGAGGCUGGAAUGAAUGGUUGGACGAGAAAAUAACUGUCUUUUUAUAAUUUUAUUUGAAUUUUAUUUUUAAGUUAAAAAGCUUAAAUAAUUUUAAAAGACGAGAAGACCCUAUAGAGUUUUAUUAAUUUAGGUUUAAUAGUUUUUUUUGUAUAGUUUUAAAUUAUUAUAGUUUUAUUAAUUUAAUUGGGGUGAUUAAAAAAUUUUAUAAACUUUUUUUAUAUGUUUACAUUUAUUUAUGAAUAUUUGAUCCAUAAUUUUUAUUAUGAUAUAAGAUUAAAUUACCUUAGGGAUAACAGCAUAAUUUUUUUGUAGAGUUCAAAUCGAUAAAGAAGUUUGUGACCUCGAUGUUGGAUUAAAAUUUAUUUUUGGUUGUAGAAGCUAAAAAAUUAGGUCUGUUCGACCUUUAAAAUUUUACAUGAUCUGAGUUUAAACCGGUGUAAGCCAGGUUGGUUUCUAUCUUUAUAUAAUUUAUAUAUAUUUUAGUACGAAAGGACCAAAUAUAGUAAAAAUUUUAUUAAUUAUUGAAUUUUAUUAAUAAU